CACCAACCGCGGGUAAUUCCAAGCUCCAAUAGCGUAUAUUAAAGUUGUUGUGGUUAAAAAGCUCGUAGUUAACCUUGGGCCKGGCUGGCCGGUCCGCCUCACCGCGUGUACUGGUCCGGCCGGGCCUUCCCUUCUGUGGAACCCCAUGCCCUUCACUGGGUGUGGCGGGGAAACAGGACUUUUACUGUGAAAAAAUUAGAGUGCUCCAGGCAGGCCUAUGCUCGAAUACAUUAGCAUGGAAUAAUAGAAUAGGACGUGUGGUUCUAUUUUGUUGGUUUCUAGGACCGCCGUAAUGAUUAAUAGGGACAGUCGGGGGCAUCAGUAUUCAAUUGUCAGAGGUGAAAUUCUUGGAUUUAUUGAAGACUAACUACUGCGAAAGCAUUUGCCAAGGAUGUUUUCAUUAAUCAGGAACGAAAGUUAGGGGAUCGAAGACGAUCAGAUACCGUCGUAGUCUUAACCAUAAACUAUGCCGACUAGGGAUCGGACGGUGUUAUUUUUUGACCCGUUCGGCACCUUACGAGAAAUCAAAGUGCUUGGGCUCCAGGGGGAGUAUGGUCGCAAGGCUGAAACUUAAAGAAAUUGACGGAAGGGCACCACCAGGGGUGGAGCCUGCGGCUUAAUUUGACUCAACACGGGGAAACUCACCAGGUCCAGACACAAUGAGGAUUGACAGAUUGAGAGCUCUUUCUUGAUUUUGUGGGUGGUGGUGCAUGGCCGUUCUUAGUUGGUGGAGUGAUUUGUCUGCUUAAUUGCGAUAACGAACGAGACCU
rnacentral:rRNA from 1 species